rnacentral:sRNA from 1 species
GUCGUGAGAUGUUGGGUUAAGUCCCGCAACGAGCGCAACCCCUAUCCUCAGUUGCCAUCAUUAAGUUGGGCACUCUGUGGAGACUGCCGGUGUUAAACCGGAGGAAGGUGGGGAUGACGUCAAGUCCUCAUGGCCCUUAUGACCAGGGCUACACACGUGCUACAAUGGCCGGUACAAAGAGUUGCGAUACCGCGAGGUGGAGCCAAUCUCAUAAAGCCGGUCUCAGUUCGGAUUAGAGUCUGCAACUCGACUCUAUGAAGUUGGAAUCGCUAGUAAUCGCGGAUCAGCACGCCGCGGUGAAUACGUUCCCGGGCCUUGUACACACCGCCCGUCACACCACGGGAGUCGAUUGGUCCCGAAGUGCGUGAGCUAACCCCUUGUGGGAGGCAGCGUCCUAAGGAAUGGUCGGUGACUGGGGUGAAGUCGUAACAAGGUAGCCGUAGGGGAACCUGCGGCUGGAUCACCUCCUUUCUAAGGAGCUAGAAGGCUAGACCUUCCAAGCUUACCUAGGUCAAAACACAAUCACUCACUUUAGCUGCUAUUCGGUUUUGAGAGACCAGAGUCUUCUCUGGUUUUUUGCUCUUUAUAACUUAAUGUGUGUCGUGAAAGCGAUGACACGAUUUGAUGGGCUUGUAGCUCAGUUGGCUAGAGCACACGACUGAUAAUCGUGAGGUCGCUGGUUCGAGUCCAGCCAGGCCCACCAACCUUUAUUGGGGGUGUAGCUCAGCUGGGAGAGCACCUGCCUUGCACGCAGGGGGUCAUCGGUUCGAACCCGUUCACCUCCACCAAUAAUUUGAGAAGAUGGCUUCAAGCUAUCUGAUCAGAACAGUUCUUUGACAAUUGCAUAGUGGAUAGUUUAGGUGGUAGAUGCGUACUCAGUGCGUACGUAUUUACUUGAAUUGUAUGAAUUUGUAGAUUGAUUUCGAUUUUUUAUGGUCAAGCUACUAAGGGCGUACGGUGGAUGCCUAGGCAGAGAGAGGCGAUGAAGGACGUGGUAAACUGCGAUAAGCUUCGGUGAGCCGUUAAACAGGCUUUGACCCGGAGAUUU